rnacentral:lncRNA from 1 species
UCAUGAUCAAAUAGACUUCAUCAACCAUCAUUAACAAAGGCAUGAAAAAGUUAAUAAAAUAGGUCAAAAUAAAAUAAAUAAAAUGCGAAAUAAAAUAAAUAGUUGAAAAAUAUUCAAGUUAUGCUCACAAAAUAUUUUGAUUAAAAAUAAAAUAAGUGAUGAAAAAAAUGAAAAGAAAAUGAAAGAAAAUAGGUUAAAAAAUAAGAAAGUAAGCAAAAGAAAGGAAAAAGGAAAAGAGAGAAAAAUAGAAUGAGGGUGUUGGGGG